rnacentral:rRNA from 1 species
UACGGAGGGUGCAAGCGUUGUUCGGAAUUACUGGGCGUAAAGGGCUCGUAGGCGGCCAGCUAAGUCAGACGUGAAAUCCCUCGGCUUAACCGGGGAACUGCGUCUGAUACUGGAUGGCUAGAGAUUGGGAGAGGGAUGCGGAAUUCCAGGUGUAGCGGUGAAAUGCGUAGAUAUCUGGAGGAACACCGGUGGCGAAGGCGGCAUCCUGGACCAACACUGACGCUGAGGAGCGAAAGCCAGGGGAGCAAACGGG